rnacentral:lncRNA from 1 species
UGAAAUUAAGUGUACUAAAUCUGUGUACCCUUGUAUUAUGCUGAUAUGCAUUAUUAAUAAGUUAUGGUGAAAUUGAUGCAACCGUGCAUGUGCGGAGUGGGAAGUGCAAUGUCAGUUGAAUGACAAAGGAUGUGAUAAUUACGACCGUGCAUGUGCGGAGUGGGAAGUGCAAUGCCAGUUGAAUGACAAAGGAUGUGAUAAUUACGACCGUGCAUGUGCAGAGUGAGAAGUGC